UACGUAGGGUGCAAGCGUUUGUCCGGAAUUAUUGGGCGUAAAGCGCGCGCAGGCGGUCCUUUAAGUCUGAUGUGAAAGCCCACGGCUCAACCGUGGAGGGUCAUUGGAAACUGGGGGACUUGAGUGCAGAAGAGAAGAGUGGAAUUCCACGUGUAGCGGUGAAAUGCGUAGAGAUGUGGAGGAACACCAGUGGCGAAGGCGACUCUUUGGUCUGUAACUGACGCUGAGGCGCGAAAGCGUGGGGAGCAAACAGG
rnacentral:rRNA from 1 species